rnacentral:rRNA from 1 species
GAUUCCCUUAGUAGCGGCGAGCGAAACGGGAUUAGCCCAGCACUAAGCCCAAUUAGCAAUUUUUGUUAAUUGGGGAUGCAGUGUAUGGAGAGUUCAUUAGCUUAUUGCAUAUAGAUAGUAGAUUCAAGUCCAUCUUGAAUGGGGCCACUUUAUCCCAUAGAGGGUGCCAGGCCCGUAGCAAUUACUAUCUGCAAUUUGCGAACGUUUUCUCCUAAGAGUCGUGUUGCUUGAUAGUGCAGCACAAAGUGGGUGGUAAACUCCAUCUAAGGCUAAAUAUAACCACGAGACCGAUAGAGAACAAGUACCGUGAGGGAAAGUUGAAAAGAACUCUGAAUAGAGAGUUAAAGAGUACGUGAAACCGUAUAGGGGUUAAG